GCCCCGGUAGCUCAGCGGCAGAGCAACCCAACCUAGGGCCCGUAAGGGUGCACGGGGAGCGCGCCGGUUCGAAUCCGGUUCGGGGCA
rnacentral:tRNA from 1 species